UUCUCACACCUCCAGGGUGGGCAGAGUCCUGUGGAUGCCCCUCAUCUCCCAUGGCAGAGGAUCAAGACCAUGGGUUCUCACUUAUCCAGGCCUAGGUUUUCUUCCCCCAACCAUGUAUCUUGGGCAAGUAAGCCAAAUUCUCUGUGUCUCAGUUUCCUCAUCCACCAAAUGGGUGUGCGGUGGUGUCUGCCCCUACAGGCCAUCUGAUUUCUUCUGUGUCUCACAACCUGCAGCCACAGCUGGCAAUGUGCUUGGAAUGCCACGGCCAAGAGAAGAAAGAGUGUACUGGCAUCCCAAUACCAGGAGGUUGGAGGAAGGAUUUCUGCCUCUGCUGCAUCUUCCCCGCUGGUUGGACUGGUGCCCUGACUGCCUACGAACUCUAAAGUAGUUUCUGGCUCAAUUACCCUGACCUUGGACCAGAAGUGGGUGUCUAUGAAGGCUGUUUGGUCCUCAGCAUCCCAGGUGCAGUCAUGUAACACAUAUAUUAUUCUGUUCCCUUGGUACGUUUGGAAGCUAUCUCAGGUCUCUUUACAGAAGAGGAGGCAUGGUUCAAACCUGUGCAUAGUAAAUAUGCAAUCAUAAGACUCAAAGUCAAUGUCCUUGUCACUCAUCCCUGUUUGUGAACACAGAGGUGGGUGCUUAU